rnacentral:rRNA from 1 species
GACGAACCGUGCGAACGUUGUUCGGAAUCACUGGGUACGUUAAAGGGCGCGUGAGGCGGGCGGUCAAGUCAUGUGGUGAAAUCCUUCGGCUCAACCGGAGAAUAGCCUGGAAGAUACUGGCCGUCUCGAGGGGGGUGAGGGGCAUGUGGGAACUUCCGGUGGAGCGGUGAAAUGACGUAGAUAUCGGAAGGAACGCCGGUGGCGAAAGCGACGUGCUGGACCCUUUCUGACGCUGAGGCGCGAAAGCCAGGGAGCAAACGGG